AUCUCUCAACACAAGAAAUUUUGUUUCUUGUGCUUGGUAUUGAAGGUCUUGCUGGCGCAAACAACUGUCAGCUCCUUUUAAAUGUAUUAGCAGAGCAGUACAGGACUGGCCUCGGUUUGAUAAGAAAUAUUAUCUAUGCUGUCGCUAGAUUUCCUCUUUGUGUUCAGCUUCAAAUUGUCUUCGGACUGCCUCUUGUGGCAAUAACAUCUUAUU
rnacentral:misc_RNA from 1 species